UGUUUUCCCUCUUUUGUAUGUUUGAUUUCUACCAAAUAUAACGCACAAAAAAAUAAAUUUUUCUUCUUUCUUUUUUUCACAUAUAAGUUUUAGGUUUUCUCAAAUUCUUACAACCUUUGACAGCCCUUGAAGAAAAGCAAGAACAAAAACAAAAAUGACAACAUCAAAAAGAGUUGCAGAGAGGAAAGUGGCUAAGUUUGAGAAGAACAUAACAAGAAGAGGAUUGAAUCCUCUAACAGGAAAGAACAAAAUGGAACCAGCACACAUUGUUCUUGCACUCUUUGCUGUUUUGGUGGUUGGAUCUUUUGUUUUCCAGGUUGUGAAGAUGGCUAUUAAUGGUGGGAACAAUGUAGAUGGAAGCUUUUAAUAUCUCCAUAAGAAUGCAACAUUAAGAAAUAUUUUUACAAUUAAUAGUUAAGAGUUGAACAUUUUCAAACUCUAAAUAAGUUUGUUACAACAUUCUCUCUUGCUUGAUGUAUUAUGGUUUUAAUACUUGUGAUGAUAGAUCAUAUGUGGAAACAACAUGAUCUUAUAAUAGUCAGUAUAUUUAAAAUUACAACGAUUCAUAUCAUCGAAUGAAUCCUUUCCAAUUUGGGAGUGUACUUGUGUGGUAUCAC